GAUGAACGCUAGCGGCAGGCUUAAUACAUGCAAGUCGAGGGGCAGCAUGAGUAGCAAUACUUGAUGGCGACCGGCAAACGGGUGCGGAACACGUACGCAACCUUCCUUUAAGUGGAGAAUAGCCCGGGGAAACCCGGAUUAAUACUCCGUAACAUUAUGAUGUGGCAUCACUUUAUAAUUAUAGAUUUAUCGCUUAAAGAUGGGCGUGCGCCUGAUUAGGUAGNGGCGGGGUAAUGGCCCACCAAGCCUUCGAUCAGUAACUGGUGUGAGAGCACGACCAGUCACACGGGCACUGAGACACGGGCCCGACUCCUACGGGAGGCAGCAGUAAGGAAUAUUGGUCAAUGGACGCAAGUCUGAACCAGCCAUGCCGCGUGGAGGAUGAAGGUCCUCUGGA
rnacentral:rRNA from 1 species